rnacentral:rRNA from 1 species
UGAGGAAUAUUGCACAAUGGGCGAAAGCCUGAUGCAGCAACGCCGCGUGAGGGACGAAGGCCUUCGGGUCGUAAACCUCUUUUCUGGGGGAAGAGAUCAGGACGGUACCUCAGGAAUAAGUCUCGGCUAACUACGUGCCAGCAGCCGCGGUAAAACGUAGGAGGCGAGCGUUAUCCGGAUUUACUGGGCGUAAAGCGCACGCAGGCGGCUCCGUUAGUCGGACGUGAAAGCUCCUGGCUUAACUGGGAGAGGCCGUUCGAUACUGCGGGGCUUGAGGUUGGGAGAGGGGUGUGGAAUUCCCGGUGUAGUGGUGGAAUGCGUAGAGAUCGGGAGGAACACCUGUGGCGAAAGCGGCACCCUGGCCCACACCUGACGCUGAGGUGCGAAAGCGUGGGUAGCAAACAGG